AGCUCCAAUAGCGUAUACUAAAGUUGCUGCGGUUAAAAAGCUCGUAGUUGGACCUCAGGCUUCAGGCGGGCGGUCCGUCUCUCGGCGCGAUCUGCCCGACCUGGCCUCCACGCCGGCAUCGUCCCCUGGUGCUCUUGACUGAGUGUCUCGGGCGGCCGGAACGUUUACUUUGAAGAAAUUGGAGUGCUCAAAGCAGGCCCAGCGCCCGCACAAUGGUGCAUGGAAUAAUGGAAUAGGGCCUGGGCUCUAUGGGGUUGGUUUUGGGAGUCGGGGAAAUGAUAAAUAGAGGCGGACGGGGGCAUUGGUAUGGCGGGGUUAGGGGUGAAAUUCUUGGACCGCCGCAAGACGGACUACAGCGAAAGCAUUUGCCAAGCAUGUUUUCA
rnacentral:rRNA from 1 species